GCUUAACGCGAAGAACCUUACCUGGCCUUGACAUGCUGAGAACUUUCCAGAGAUGGAUUGGUGCCUUCGGGAACUCAGACACAGGUGCUGCAUGGCUGUCGUCAGCUCGUGUCGUGAGAUGUUGGGUUAAGUCCCGUAACGAGCGCAACCCUUGUCCUUAGUUACCAGCACCUCGGGUGGGCACUCUAAGGAGACUGCCGGUGACAAACCGGAGGAAGGUGAGGAUGACGUCAAGUCAUCAUGGCCCUUACGGCCAGGGCUACACACGUGCUACAAUGGUCGGUACAAAGGGUUGCCAAGCCGCGAGGUGGAGCUAAUCCCAUAAAACCGAUCGUAGUCCGGAUCGCAGUCUGCAACUCGACUGCGUGAAGUCGGAAUCGCUAGUAAUCGUGAAUCAGAAUGUCACGGUGAAUACGUUCCCGGGUCUUGUACACACCG
rnacentral:rRNA from 1 species